CUUAUCAACCAUACCACCCUGAGUACACCCGAUCUCUUCUGACCUUGGAAGCUAAGCAGGGUUGGGCCUGGUUAGAACUUGGAUAAAAGAUCACCUGGGAAUACCAGGUGCUGUAUUUC
rnacentral:rRNA from 2 species